rnacentral:misc_RNA from 1 species
UGGGUUUGACAUGCACAGGAUCCCGGCAGAGAUGUCGGUUCCCUUGUGGCCUGUGUGCAGGUGGUGCAUGGCUGUCGUCAGCUCGUGUCGUGAGAUGUUGGGUUAAGUCCCGCAACGAGCGCAACCCUUAUCCUAUGUUGCCAGCGCGUAAUGGCGGGGACUCGUGGGAGACUGCCGGGGUCAACUCGGAGGAAGGUGGGGAUGACGUUGUACACCUGAAC